ensembl:lncRNA
GAGAAGGCUGACAAGACUCUGACCAAGGAGAGAUUCUUCAUCAAGGGACAGGGAUGAAAUUACAAGAAAACCUGAGAUUUCAGGAAGAAAUAUAAGAAAUAUGGGGAGAAGGAGACGAAGCACAUCCACCAGAAACUUGAUGGCUGCUGAAGUCACUGACCUCUGGCCACAGAUUUAUUACAGCAUCUUCUCCACUUCUGUGAUAUCAAGGUAGCAAUGACAGCACAAUAAAGACACCCAUGAAAGAGAACUUCUGGAACCACUUCAGAAAGUGACAAGAACAAUGGGAUAAGUGUGUUUGAAGAGAGGAGGAGUAUCUUGAGGGUGAUUAAUAGUGAUGU